rnacentral:rRNA from 1 species
UACGGGGGGAGCAAGCGUUGUUCGGAUUUACUGGGCGUAAAGGGCGCGUAGGCGGCCUCUGCAAGUCGACUGUGAAAUCUCCGGGCUUAACCCGGAAAGGUCAGCCGAUACUGCAGGGCUAGAGUGCAGAAGGGGCAACUGGAAUUCUCGGUGUAGCGGUGAAAUGCGUAGAUAUCGAGAGGAACACCUGCGGCGAAGGCGGGUUGCUGGGCUGACACUGACGCUGACAGCGCGAAAGCUAGGGAGCGAACGGG